AGCAGCCGCGGUAAUUCCAGCUCCAAUAGCGUAUAUUAAAGUUGUUGCAGUUAAAAAGCUCGUAGUUGAAUUUCGGGAUCAAUAUGUCUGUCGUGCCUUCGGUACGUACGGGUAUAAUUGGUUUCUACCUUCUGAUGAACCUUGAUGCCAUUAAUUUGGUGUCUUGGGGACUCAGGACUGUUACCUUGAAAAAAUUAGAGUGUUUAAAGCAGGCAUACGCUUGAAUACAUUAGCAUGGAAUAAUGAAAUAGGACGUUCGAUUCUAUUUUGUUGGUUUCUAGGAUCGACGUAAUGAUUAAUAGGGAUAGUUGGGGGCAUUAGUAUUCAAUUGUCAGAGGUGAAAUUCUUGGAUUUAUUGAAGACUAACUACUGCGAAAGCGUUUGCCAAGGAUGUUUUCAUUAAUCAAGAACGAAAGUUAGGGGAUCGAAGACGAUCAGAUACCGUCGUAGUCUUAACCAUAAACUAUGCCGACCAGGGAUCGGAUGAUGUUAAUUUUUAAUGACUCAUUCGGCGCCUUAC
rnacentral:rRNA from 1 species